rnacentral:rRNA from 1 species
ACGCACGCUGGCGGCGUGCUUCACACCUGCAAGUCGCACGGAAAGGCCCUGCUUUUGUGGGGUGCUCGAGUGGCGAACGGGUGAGUAACACGUGAGUAACCUGCCCUUGACUUUGGGAUAACUUCAUGAAACUGGGGCUAAUACCGGAUAGGAGCUCCUGCUGCAUGGUGGGGGUUGGAAAGUUUCGGCGGUUGGGGAUGGACUCGCGGCUUAUCAGCUUGUUGGUGGGGUAGUGGCUUACCAAGGCUUUGACGGGUAGCCGGCCUGAGAGGGUGACCGGCCACAUUGGGACUGAGAUACGGCCCAGACUCCUACGGGAGGCAGCAGUGGGGAAUAUUGCACAAUGGGCGGAAGCCUGAUGCAGCAACGCCGCGUGCGGGAUGACGGCCUUCGGGUUGUAAACCGCUUUCGCCUGUGACGAAGCGUGAGUGACGGUAAUGGGUAAAGAAGCACCGGCUAACUACGUG